rnacentral:rRNA from 1 species
UACGGGGGGGGUAAGCGUUGUUCGGAAUUACUGGGCGUAAAGGGCUCGUAGGCGGCCAACUAAGUCAGACGUGAAAUCCCUCAGCUUAACUGGGGAACUGCGUCUGAUACUGGAUGGCUUGGAUCCGGGAGAGGGAUGCGGAAUUCCUGGUGUAGCGGUGGAAUGCGCAGAUAUCAGGAGGAACACCGAUGGCGAAGGCAGUUCUCUGGGCCGUAACUGACGCUGAGGAGCGAAAGCGUGGGGAGCGAACAGG